UUCCUAAUGCUUCCCAUUCCUA
rnacentral:miRNA from 1 species